CUCACUUGGAUCACGUCCUCAACACCUCUUGUUUGAUUAGUACCAUGGUACCAAAGGAACCUGAUACUAUUCUUCUUGGAGUGGCAAGACUUAUGCUGGAAGUAUUUUGUGAUGGAUAUUACAUGGUUCCAAAUAAAAACCAUCUGAAUUUAUUGUUGAUGGUUAAAUAUCAAACAGACCUCAUUUUAAACGGUGAGAAGAAAUGGGAAACAUUACCAGGCUGCCAGACACGCCCCAUUGAUAACAAAGGUCUGCCUGCUGCCGCUGUACACAAAACACCCAACCCAGAACCAAUCGAUGCCACAAAAUUGCCGCUAGCAGAAAAAAUUCGACGACUUUCAAUGUUUUUACGAAGUGAAAAAAAAGUAAUCAAUGAAAUUAUGUUGUUUGAGAAUUCUCUGAUGAGUUGUAAAGUUGGAAUUUGACCAGAUUUUUUGAUCGAUGGCAUGGUACAAGGAAAGAACGGAUCCUUUUUCACUGGCCGACUUAAUCUGGGUGGUGUGUUCCUAGCCAGAGCUAUCGGCAUCAACAAGAAAGAAAUCAAACUGUCAUGUUUCAAGAAGGCGGUGGAACUUUAUCGUACCCUUCCUGUCACUGAAAUUUUGAACCAGGAUGAUAUGACCCCAAAAGUUAUCAAGGAGAAACUGGAGAAUUUUAACUCGACCGUUGCUAAGAUGGAGAAAGAAACAAUUGCAGAGUUACCCCCACCAUCUAUUUUGAAACAGAUCCAAGAUAUUCUAACCAAUCCUAAAUAUGCUUCAACCAAUUCAGUCAGCAAAAUGGAGUUGGCGGCCUCUGUGGCUAAAUGUCGAGUCCGUUGUCGAUAUGAUGUAGAGAGUUGUAAAGCUGAAUCAGGGAAAGUUUAUCAUAAGGGAAUGUACUUUAUUGACAACAUACUACAAGGUGCAGGUGUUUCAGUUUCCAAAAAAACUGCUAAGUCAUUGUGUUAUAAUAUGGUGGUUGAACGACUGACCACCAUGAAUGUUGAACAUGGCAACAUCUUAGAUGGUGUCGAACAGUCUGUCAUAACAGAAGCAGAAGCACAGGUUCAGAGCACUUUGGUAAAGGCAGCACCAAAUCCUAGGGCAUUUGAUCUCCGUGAACAGUUUGUCAAAAUGAACGAACUUAGCAGUGCCACGCAUCCUGCAUCCAUCAUUACUGUCUUGGAUGGAAUUUUCAACGAUGUAAAAUUGACGCCCAUUUGUCUAUACCGUCGUAGCAUGAACACAGAAAUAGAAAAGGAGAAAAUUUUCUGUAACCUCUAUCUAGCUGGUCAUCUCAUCAUGAUUGGUGAAGCAGAGAACCGAACAGAUGCCCAAGCAGACGCUUACUCUAAAGCCCGAUAGGUUUCACGAACUGUGACCCCGAGUUCAUCCUCCCCCAACACAGUAAACUUCAACCACACGACCAAGCAGCAACAGAUGUUAUCGACUUUCGUGUCAAGGGCAACUGCAUUUUGGAAGAUAACUGUUCGAAUCUUCAUCGCUUACAAUGGACCCGAAAACCUAUAUCAACACUACCAGCCAAGGAUAUCGUUGUCUUUGAGGACGUCAGUUGGAUAGUAGAUCGUAAAGUUCAAGGUUUCUAUAUUUUACAACAUUCAUGUUUUGUCAACAAUAUGUUGUUGGAAUGGGAGUUUUUUGACAAUGAUGAUCGUGUAUUCAGAUGUCAGAUGAAGAUACAGAAGGAAGAUGUUGGAACCGAACCUGCAGUGUCUCUUAGUAAGAUAGGCUCUAGAAAUUUUGCAGCAGCUGAUAUCUUGUUUAAGCUCUACGAAACACAACCAGUCAUAGAGGUUUCUGCUUACACUAAACCUGAUCAAGCGAUAGAAUCUGUCAGUUUUGAUACGUUGCUUAAAGAAGCGGAGGUGUUGAAGAAAGCUGCCGAGGAUGCAGGAGAAAACGUUACAGCUACUACAGCUGAGGGAACUGAUUCAGAAACUGAGACCAGUGACACAGAUGUUGAAAUGAAGGAAGAAGUAACAGAUUCACAGGCUAAGAAGAAAUAUCCUAGAAAACCACAUUACCGUCAUGCUGAUAGAUUUAUUUUAAAAGCUGCCCAGGCACGACUAGACGAAUUCAUUAAAGUUAAAAUGCUAAAAGAUCUACUGUUUGGACCUGCUUUCCCUCAUCAUAUCACACGCCAGAUUAACGGCUUACUGUAUAACCUCCCCGUUCCAGUUCGCUUUAUAAAUCAUUCCACUAGAAAUCAGAUGUACACCAUUGUAACGCAAAGUAUGUCACCGAUCAAAAUUGUCGCAUUUCUCAAAGCCAACGGUGGACAGUCUGGUCGCUUUCGUUUAGUCGACAAAUCAGAACUUCCGACACAUAAGGACAUUUUACCAGAACUUAAAAGUAGGGAAAUUUUAACUAAGAUCAAAUCCAAAUUUUAGUAGAAAUUUCAAUUUUGAUUGGCUAAGCACUAAAACCAAUCAAAUUGUUGGCUUUUUUUUGCUAAUAAAUAUAAGUGCUAGUCUAA